UAACGCGUGAGGAACCUGCCUUCCAGAGGGGGACAACAGUUGGAAACGACUGCUAAUACCGCAUGAUACAUUUGAAUCGCAUGGUUUGAAUGUCAAAGAUUUAUCGCUGGAAGAUGGCCUCGCGUCUGAUUAGCUAGUUGGUGAGGUAACGGCCCACCAAGGCGACGAUCAGUAGCCGGACUGAGAGGUUGGCCGGCCACAUUGGGACUGAGAUACGGCCCAGACUCCUACGGGAGGCAGCAG
rnacentral:rRNA from 1 species